CAGGCUUAACACAUGCAAGUCGAGGGGCAGCAUGGUCUUAGCUUGCUAAGGCCGAUGGCGACCGGCGCACGGGUGAGUAACACGUAUCCAACCUGCCGUCUACUCUUGGACAGCCUUCUGAAAGGAAGAUUAAUACAAGAUGGCAUCAUGAGUCCGCAUGUUCACAUGAUUAAAGGUAUUCCGGUAGACGAUGGGGAUGCGUUCCAUUAGAUAGUAGGCGGGGUAACGGCCCACCUAGUCUUCGAUGGAUAGGGGUUCUGAGAGGAAGGUCCCCCACAUUGGAACUGAGACACGGUCCAAACUCCUACGGGAGGCAGCAGUGAGGAAUAUUGGUCAAUGGGCGAGAGCUUGAACCAGCCAAGUAGCGUGAAGGAUGACUGCCCUAUGGGUUGUAAACUUCUUUUAUAAAGGAAUAAAGUCGGGUAUGGAUACCCGUUUGCAUGUACUUUAUGAAUAAGGAUCGGCUAACUCCGUGCCAGCAGCCGCGGUAAUACGGAGGAUCCGAGCGUUAUCCGGAUUUAUUGGGUUUAAAGGGAGCGUAGAUGGAUGUUUAAGUCAGUUGUGAAAGUUUGCGGCUCAACCGUAAAAUUGCAGUUGAUACUGGAUAUCUUGAGUGCAGUUGAGGCAGGCGGAAUUCGUGGUGUAGCGGUGAAAUGCUUAGAUAUCACGAAGAACUCCGAUUGCGAAGGCAGCCUGCUAAGCUGCAACUGACAUUGAGGCUCGAAAGUGUGGGUAUCAAACAGGAUUAGAUACCCUGGUAGUCCACACGGUAAACGAUGAAUACUCGCUGUUUGCGAUAUACUGCAAGCGGCCAAGCGAAAGCGUUAAGUAUUCCACCUGGGGAGUACGCCGGCAACGGUGAAACUCAAAGGAAUUGACGGGGGCCCGCACAAGCGGAGGAACAUGUGGUUUAAUUCGAUGAUACGCGAGGAACCUUACCCGGGCUUAAAUUGCAGAUGAAUUACGGUGAAAGCCGUAAGCCGCAAGGCAUCUGUGAAGGUGCUGCAUGGUUGUCGUCAGCUCGUGCCGUGAGGUGUCGGCUUAAGUGCCAUAACGAGCGCAACCCUUGUUGUCAGUUACUAACAGGUUCCGCUGAGGACUCUGACAAGACUGCCAUCGUAAGAUGUGAGGAAGGUGGGGAUGACGUCAAAUCAGCACGGCCCUUACGUCCGGGGCUACACACGUGUUACAAUGGGGGGUACAGAGGGCCGCUACCACGCGAGUGGAUGCCAAUCCCCAAAACCUCUCUCAGUUCGGACUGGAGUCUGCAACCCGACUCCACGAAGCUGGAUUCGCUAGUAAUCGCGCAUCAGCCACGGCGCGGUGAAUACGUUCCCGGGCCUUGUACACACCGCCCGUCAAGCCAUGGGAGCCGGGGGUACCUGAAGUGCGUAACCGCGAGGAGCGCCCUAGGGUAAAACUGGUGACUGGGGC
rnacentral:rRNA from 1 species